UACGUAGGUGACAAGCGUUGUCCGGAUUUACUGGGCGUAAAGAGCGCGUAGGCGGUCGUUCAAGUCGAGUGUGAAAGCCCCCGGCUCAACUGGGGAGGGUCACUCGAUACUGAUCGACUCGAAGGCAGGAGAGGGUAGUGGAAUUCCCGGUGUAGUGGUGAAAUGCGUAGAUAUCGGGAGGAACACCAGUGGCGAAGGCGACUACCUGGCCUGUUCUUGACGCUGAGGCGCGAAAGCUAGGGGAGCAAACGGG
rnacentral:rRNA from 1 species